AUUGAACGCUGGCGGCAGGCCUAAUACAUGCAAGUCGAACGAGUGGCGGACGGGUGAGUAAUGUCUGGGAAACUGCCUGAUGGAGGGGGAUAACUACUGGAAACGGUAGCUAAUACCGCAUACCAUCGGAUGUGCCCAGAUGGGAUUAGCUAGUAGGUGGGGUAACGGCUCUCCUAGGCGACGCUCCCUAGCUGGUCUGCGAGGUUGACCAGCCACACUGGAACGUGGACACGGUCCAGACUCCUACGGAGGGCAGCGGUGGGGAAUAUUGCACAAGGGGCGCAAGCCUGAUGCAGCCAUGCCGCGUGUAUGAAGAAGGCCUUCGGGUUGUAAAGUACUUUCAGCGGGGAGGCGUUACCCGCAGAAGAAGCACCGGCUAACUCCGUGCCAGCAGCCGCGGUAAUUC
rnacentral:rRNA from 1 species